GAGAGUCGCGGAGUUUCCUAGUUGGAGGCUGUGGCGGACGCGAUUUGCUUCCUCAUAUAGGGUUCCGGAGGCGGCGAAAAGUCCAGCGGGUCUCCGAAGCCGGUAGACGGAGCCAUGAAGAAGACGUCGGGCUUCAGGAGGGGGAAGGGCGGGCUGCCCUGGGGCUCGGUCAGCAGCCCCGGGAAGGUGGGCGCGGGCGCCGGGAGUGAGAGUGCGGACCACGCCUCCUCCCAGCCCAGGCGCCACGACCCGGACAAGGGGUUCGACAGGCUCCGCAGAGCUGCCGGCCGACACCGGACAGAGACGAUGCGGCGGAUCCUUUCUCUGCCGAAGAGUGGCGUGGAUGACAGAGACGAGAAGAACAGGCUGUCCAACGAACAGAGUUCUGGUGACUCAUGGCUUUCAAUAGAUGAUGAACUCUUUGAUUCUGGUACCAAGACUACCUUUGAGAAUGUUCCACAGAAAUAUGAUAGUCACUUAACUGGAGCUGAUGAUGGUCAAAGAGGAAAAAUUACAAUAAAGGAACAAGAAGAUUCUCUUCAGCAAUAUCAUCACUUGAAGCCUAAGGUUGAAAUGAAAGAGUGUGUUUCGAACCAGGCAGUCGGAAUGAAAGAUGUACAAGCAUGCACAUCAGCUUUUUCAGCUUUGGAUUUUAAUAGUUUGACCUUCAGUAAUGAGCUUCAUGAAAGAUCUGAGAAUUUGAAAGUUGGUGAUCUAUGUCCAUUUGUGUCUCCACCAAUGACCAACACUGUGUUGGGAUCCACAGACUUGGGGAAGAUGAACUUAAUAGAUUAAGAAAAGAUGACCACUGCAGCUGCAUUUCUAUUUUGGAAUCACACUCUCCGUGACCUGUGUGAGUCACAGCUACCAGAAAACAAAGACAGCAAAGAAGAGAGAACAGGAAAUGAGAAUGGGUGAUGUGGGUCCCCAUGAAGCAAUAAACAUAGGAGGACCUCACUCUGUUGUGCAUGCUGGAGUACAGUGGCGCAGUCUCUGCUCCCUGAAACCUCGACUUCCAGGGCUCAAGAGAUCCUUCCAUCUUACCAAGUAGCUGGGACUACAGAUGUAUAGUUAUUUUCCAAACCCACCAUUGUAAAAUUACAUUCUAUUAAAGAGAAAAAGAAGAAAAAGAAACUUAAUUUGUUUUUUGGGGGAUAGUUGAGAUGUGUUUAACACAGCCCCUGCUGGUAACCAAGGUCCUCCUCCAAUGACGGGUAUGAAUAUGAACAACAGAGCAACUAUACCUGGCCCACCAGUGGGUCCUGGUCCUGCCAUGGGACCAGAAGGAGCCGCAAAUAUGGGAACUCCAAUGAUGCCAGAUAAUGGAGCAGUGGAAGAACCGGAACUAUGAUUUGUGCCUUCCUUAUUGCCUCCGAAAUAUUUUUAACUGCAGAGGAAAGCCUGUAUUAUUUUGGAGAAAGGCGAACAGAUAAAACGCACAGCAGUAAAUUUCAGGGACUAGAAACUCCUUCUCAGUAGAGACAAGGUUUCACCCUGUUGGCGAGGCUGGUCUCAAACUCCUGACGCCCAGUGAUCUGCCCACCUCGGCCUCCCAAAGUGCUGGGAUUACAGGCGGGAGCCACCAUGAUGGCCAACUUUUGAAUUCUGAACCAGUUGAUUGAGUACCAGAGCUCUUCAAUACCUUGAAGAAAGAUUCAGGGGAGAGCCGUUGUGAACAGCUUGCCCCAGGGAAAGGACAAGGCUGAGAGAAUUCCAGGGCUUCCUUGAGAAAACAGAAUUGAGGAAAUGCAAAGUGAAGAAUUCUAGCAUCAGGAACAAGAGAAGAAUGAUGGAAAACCUGCUACUGAGAUAUGUUGGAUAUUUUGCACAAGUGAAACAUCUCUACAACUGGAAUCUCCCUCCAAGACGGAUACUCUUUAUAAUAAGAUUCAUUAUUUAUUCGAUUCGUGGUGUUGGAACAGGCGAUGUAUGUGAUCUAAAAUUCCAAAUAGUAAUGGAGAAAAAGGUUGUCUUUUCCAGUACUUCAUUAGGAAAUUGUUCAAUACUGCAUGACAUUGAAACAGCUGGUGUAUUAACUAAUGUAUAUGACAGUCCAUCUCUGUACGAUGAUGUGAAAGUGCAGUUUUUCUCUUCGAAUCUUCCUAAAUACUAUGACAAUUGUUCAUUUUUCUUCUGGUUCAACACAUCUUUUAUUCAAAAUAACAGAGAGAAAUUUAGAUAUUUUAUUAAACUUGGAAGUCAUUAAUGCCAUAUAAAGCAAUGCUAAGAGAGUCAGCAUGUGUUACUGAUGUGUUGCUGAAGAUUAAAGUAUUUUUAAGUCUCACCAAAAAGGUGGAAGGAGCCAACUGAGACACAAAAAAGGGGCUGAGGUUCUAUUCACGGCUUUAUCUACCAAGAAAUGAAUUGGAUAAUCCACAUCAACAAAAAGCAUGGAAAAUUUAUCCACCAGAAUUUGCCGUGGAGAUACUUUUUGGCGAGAAAUGACUUCCAAUGACGUAGCUGGAUCCGAUUAAGUAUAGUUUCCCCUUCCCCUUCUGGGAAAGAAUUAAUGUUCUUUCCAACCCCUGCCAUGUGCAUGUUCAUAUGUCCUAAGUCUUCCUUGAUGAUGUAUCUAUAUUUAUAUAUGUUUAUAUAUGUUCUUCAUAAAUCUAUUAAAUAUAUAUAGAUAAAA
ensembl:lncRNA novel transcript